AGCUNUAAGUGAGUGGCAAAACUCCAUCUAAGGCUAAAUACGACCUCGAAACCGAUAGCGAACAAGUACCGUGAGGGAAAGUUGAAAAGAACUUUUAAGAGAGAGUUUAAGAGUAUGUGAAAUCGUUCAGGGGUAAAUUUAAAAAACCCAAAAUUCGAACGAGGAGAUUCAUCGUCAGCGGCGCUGGCUUCGCGUCGAUGGGCGAUGUCCCGCGGAGUCCUCGCUGCUCGCGCGCGGGCACGCUACCGUGCGCCGAUGCCCGGCUGUCGUUUUCGUGCACUUCUCCCCAAGUAGAACGUCGCGACCCGCUGGGUGUCGGUCUACGGCCCGGUGACUGCCGCGACGCCGGUAAAACGGCACGCAACAAACCCUCGGUCGCCCGGCCGGUUGCUUGGCGGUACGCGCAAAGUAUCAGGCCGCACUUAUACACGGUGCGUCGAGGCCGUCGCAAGCGAUCGCCACGGUACUCAGAGAUUACGGACUUUGCGCCGUCCCCGGUCCUGGCCCGCUGUUGGUUAAAGUACGGAUCACCUUCGAGAGGCCUGCGAAUGUCUCUCUCACGGGGGACGGAUACCGGUCGGCGACGCUACUGCUUUGGGUACUCUUAU
rnacentral:rRNA from 1 species